rnacentral:rRNA from 1 species
UACGAAGGGGGCUAGCGUUGCUCGGAAUCACUGGGCGUAAAGAGCUCGUAGGCGGCUUGGCAAGUCGGAUGUGAAAACUCCAGGCUCAACCUGGAGCCGCCAUUCGAUACUGCUAUGGCUAGAGUCCGGUAGGGGAGUGUGGAAUUCCCGGUGUAGCGGUGAAAUGCGCAGAUAUCGGGAGGAACACCGAUGGCGAAGGCAGCACUCUGGGCCGGUACUGACGCUGAGGAGCGAAAGCGUGGGGAGCGAACAGG